CCUGCUGCCAAUAGCUUUAUUGUUGACCCUUGGCUCAGGGCUUGUGAGGGGGCUACAAGCGGGCAGUUAGAAAGAUGCCUCCUGGCUGGAGGGGCUCGGGCAGGCGCCCGCAGGCUGGGGGAAGAGUGCCCUCCCCCACGGCCUCUGGGCUCCAGAGACUCCUAGUGGUGCUUGAGGGUGAGCCUUCCAAAAAGGUAACUCGCAAAAAAAAAAAAAAAAAAAAAAAAAAAAACAAAAAAAAAAAACAAAGAGGUAACUCGCCCCGCCCGGCCCCGCCCCGCCCCGCCCCGCCUGUGGGCCAGCAAGCCUGCGGAGCUUGGUCACGUGGUCGCCCAGCUUGCUGAGCAGUUUCACCUCCUCACCGAGGAAACGCUUCUCCAGGAAGGCACAGAGCUGAGGAAGAGAAGAGAAGUGAACAAUUCUACUGGAGAGAUGACAGGAGGCAAUAGGUCCCAAGGUGGCAGAUGUGGCAAGCGAGGCAUUUCCCAGAAGUCCCGGGUGGGAAAGAGCGGAGAAGGGAUGGAGCCCCAAGCGGAUCUGGGAGCGCCUUGGCACGACCCCCAGUCUCCUGCAAGGACACAGCCCCGGAGAGCACAGCCCCAGAGAGCACGGAGCUGUCUGGACGCCAGGCCUUGCGAGAGCGCCUCCACUUCAGCCACCAUAAGCAACCCAGCUAACCCUGAACUCAAUGCCCCGGAA
rnacentral:lncRNA from 1 species